AGUGAUUGGGUUACAGAAAUUAUCGAUUCACCAUAGUAGACUAUCUUUCACUGUUUAUUCACAUAGUAAAAUGUGUAUAUAGUUUUGAUACGAUUUUAUUAUGUAGAUUUUGACAAAAUAUACUUUAAAUCUACUGAGUAUUUAACGCCAUUCCGGUUAGAUGUUGACUAUAAUUAAUGAUUAGACUGAUAGCACUGCAGAGGUUUUAUCAAACGCCGUGGCA